UGGACUGCUGCUGACAGAAGAUAGAGAGCACAGACGUUUGGCUGCAAGAGCGGAAUCCAUAUCCAGCAGCUCUGCGUUCGUGCUCUCUAUUCUUCUGUCAUCAAUCUUUCGA
rnacentral:pre_miRNA from 1 species